rnacentral:rRNA from 1 species
CGCCUACGGGGGGCAGCAGUGGGGAAUAUUGGGCAAUGGGCGCAAGCCUGACCCAGCAACGCCGCGUGAAGGAAGAAGGCUUUCGGGUUGUAAACUUCUUUUGUCAGGGACGAAGCAAGUGACGGUACCUGACGAAUAAGCCACGGCUAACUACGUGCCAGCAGCCGCGGUAACACGUAGGUGGCAAGCGUUAUCCGGAUUUAUUGGGUGUAAAGGGCGUGUAGGCGGGAAUGCAAGUCAGAUGUGAAAACUAUGGGCUCAACCCAUAGCCUGCAGUUGAAACUGUAUU